CCUGAUGUGAAAUAACCCUACACUGGCUUUGUUUACAGGCAAGGAUUUCCUUCCCUAAUAAAUGAUUGAAAGUGUUCAGUCAAUUAACUCUCCAGAGUGGUUAAUUUAGUAGUUUCCUGAUCAUUAACAGGCAGUUCUUGAAAAGCAUUAACACCACACCAAGAGUGGAAAUUUGUAGUUUACACCUAUGAAGACCUAACAUCAGUCCUUAUAAUGCUGCAUUGUUUGACUGAGCAGUAUUCCUUUUGUCUCCAUAGUCUCUUUGCUCUUGGGCAUCACUCAGAUGGGGAGAUAUGGAAGUGAAAUAUGGAAAUCUACUGCUCCAGAGGCAUAUUAAUAUGUAUGUUGGUCCAUUUGCUGUGUAGGUUGUUGAAGACUCUAGGAUGUGCUUGGUCUCCUUGAAACAAAGAACCAGCUGUCCCUGGUGUCCAACCACAGACCUGAAGGAUGUUCUGCGCCCUGCAGGGGCAGCAACUGCCUGCCAGAAACACAGCACACAGAGAUGUGAGGGCGAGUGCCCCUGCUGAGAACCGGGAGCCUCCUGGGGAAGCACCACCAACCACACACAGCUGGGAUGUCCCACUAGGUGUGAGUGUCCUGAAACAUCCAUGGGCUACAGAAAGCUCUGUCUCAGCUUUUCAGGAGUUUAAAAUGAUGCUUUGAGCUGUGUGCUGGCAUUCAGCCAGAGGUGAUGCCAGGAACAGAGCCCACUGCUUUCACUGGAAGUCUCUGAAUGGGAAUCUUGGUGUACUUUACAUCGUCAAGAGAAUAUCCAAAGGAUUUCAGUGCAGGAAAGUUCUUUGGAAUAACUUCAACACUGGGAAAAAUGAUGUAAUAAAUAAAAAAAAAAUGUAAUAAAAACUUGGCA
rnacentral:lncRNA from 1 species